rnacentral:lncRNA from 1 species
AUGGAAACGGAGACUGGGGGUGGAAGGGGAACAGUGGUCAAGGUUUGGUCUUAUUGGAAGUGGGGAGUGGUGUGUGUCAGGGGAACAAGGAAGCUGGGAAAAUGGGGAAGUGAAGUGAAGAGUGUCCUCUGGGAGGACUUCCAGGUUUCUUCUAGUGUGUAUGGUGAAACCAAUGAGCAUGAAGGGAGCAUGAGAAGAGAGGCAGAUCAUCAGGCAAGCCCACUAGAAAGGUCCAAUUUUCAAGCUUUUUCUCUGGGAAAUGAAAUACAAAGAACCUUGUGGACCAUCUAUAGCCCUCACAUGCCAUGAGGCUGGAGAGAAUGGAGGGAAAGCAAGAGGACCUUGGCCUGACCCAGUAAGGAGCUGGGUGGUUUUGUAAUUCCAUGGGAUUCACCAUGCUCUUUCCCAGGCUGGGCUCCUGAAUUACUUGCUCUUAUACUUUUUUUUUUUCUUACGAUUUUAUUUAGUUGAGAGAGUGGGAGGGAGAAGGAGAGAGAUUUUGAAGCAGACUCCAAGCUGAGCACAGAGCUGAACGUGGGGGUUCAGUGCCAUGACUGCAAGACCGUUCCUGAUCUGAGCCAAAACCAAGAUCGGCCGCUCAACUGACUGAGCCACUCAGAUGCCCUCUUAUACUUUAUUUUCAAAUUGACCAACUUCCUUCUCAGUGGAAAAAUAGAAUAUUUUUUCCUUAAUAUAUGGGUCUUCUUUGCUUUCCCUCCUGAGUUCAAGAACUUGGCUAGUGCAAAGGUUUUUCUGGAGUAGGCUUUAAACACCAGAAUUGCUGCAGUCCUGCUGGAUACAAUGGAUUUCUCCAUUUGGCAGGACCCAAGUGGGGCAGCCCAGAUCCACCUGGAUGUUAGAAGCUGCAGGACUGAGAGGCCAGGGUCACCUGUCCACUGGACCCCUUGGCAGGAUUUUCAAAGCACAAGGUUUCUUUGUUUCUUGUCUAUCUCCCCACAAGGGUAAAG